UAAGAUUUGCCUGCACAGCUUACCUCUUAAUUCUUGUUUGCUUGAGUUGAGCACUGGAGUAGGGAAUCAGGUCUGGGUAGGGUGUUUGUGCAGGGGUAACGCUGGUAUUGCAAGAAACUGGGGUCAUCAGGGCUAGAUGCCGAUCGAGGAAACGGAGGUGACUGAGAAUUUGGGUGACAGAGAGCGAGUCGUAGACUAAGUGGUUGGCUCUGGUUCAGCUCGAGAAGUUGAUUGCGUAGGCUCAUCUGCUGCUGGCUGUUUUUCCUUGAAAAACAUGGUGAUCGGCAACGGUCGCUGUUGUCUCUUGAGCUGCUCAAACAUUUCUUGAUACGGUCUCAAAUAGUCCGUAAUACUAUGUGUGAUUUUGAGGCUUCGUUCCAUAGAGGGAUCGUAUUCAGAAAUUAAAUCAUUCAAGUGUU